rnacentral:rRNA from 1 species
ACGGGGCGCAGCAGGGGGGAAUUUUGCGCAAUGGGGGGAACCUUGACGCAGCGACGCCGCGUGGGUGAUGAAGGCCUUCGGGUUGUAAAGCCCUGUUGGGGGGGAAGAUAAUGACGGUACCCCCUGAGGAAGCCCCGGCUAACUACGUGCCAGCAGCCGCGGUAAGACGUAGGGGGCGAGCGUUGUCCGGAAUUACUGGGCGUAAAGGGCGUGUAGGCGGCUUUUCAAGUCGGCUGUGAAAUUCCCCGGCUUAACCGGGGGGGUGCAGUCGAAACUGAUGGGCUUGAGUGCAGGAGAGGGUGGUGGAAUUCCCGGUGUAGCGGUGACAUGCGUAGAUAUCGGGAGGAACACCGGUGGCGAAGGCGACCUCCUGGCCUGUUACUGACGCUGAGGCGCGAAAGCUGGGGGAGCAAACAGGAUUAGAUACCCUGGUAGUCCCGGCUGUAAACUCUGGGUACUAGGUGUGGGGGGCUUCGAUGCCCUCUGUGCCGUAGUUAACGCAUUAAGUACCCCGCCUGGGGAGUACGAUCGCAAGGUUGAAACUCAAAGGAAUUGGCGGGGGAGCACA